rnacentral:rRNA from 1 species
UACGUAGGGGGCUAGCGUUGUCCGGAAUCAUUGGGCGUAAAGAGCUCGUAGGCGGCUUGUCGCGUCGUCCGUGAAAACUUGGGGCUCAACCCCAAGCUUGCGGUCGAUACGGGCAGGCUAGAGUUCGGUAGGGGAGACUGGAAUUCCUGGUGUAGCGGUGAAAUGCGCAGAUAUCAGGAGGAACACCGGUGGCGAAGGCGGGUCUCUGGGCCGAUACUGACGCUGAGGAGCGAAAGCGUGGGGAGCGAACAGG